NNNNGCCCACGUGUGUCCGGCCUCCGCAGGGCCCUGGGCGGCGGCGCGGGAUGGGGCGGCGGUCAGCGUGUCACCGCUUGGUGGCCUCGUGUGCGCACAGCUGGGGCCCGGGGAGCACGGGGUUAAAGAAGUCAGUGGAAGAACAGCUGAUUUCUACGGUUUUAAUGACUACUUUGGGACCACUCACAUGACCCAACACACCGCAUACGUGAAAAUGUUCAUGGAAAGAACACCCAUCAAGUGGUCUUUUCCGUUUCUCUCCCUUUUCACCCAGCUCCAGUUAAAAUUCCGUGAAGCAUUCUCCUGAGAAGUACCUUGGCAAGAGAGAAACAAGAGAGGCAACAAAACAAAACAAAAACUAAGAGUCUGAAACCGUGUUUCUUUAUCUAAACAAAGUUUUUAUUAGUGUAAAACAAUGUAUGUAUCAAUUCGGUACUGUCAUGUAUCUUUUAUUUUCAGUGAAAGAAAAC
rnacentral:lncRNA from 1 species